GGCUAAGUUGUUUAGGGCGCACGGUGGAUGCCUUGGCACAAGAAGCCGAUGAAGGACGUGUGAAUCUGCGAUAAGCCUCGGGGAGUCGAUAACAGGACGUUGAUUCGAGGAUUUCCGAAUGGGGGAACCCCGCCACUUGUCAAGGGUGGUGACCUGCACCUGAAUGUAUAGGGUGUGUGGAGGGAACGAGGGGAAGUGAAACAUCUCAGUACCCUCAGGAAGAGAAAAUAACUAAUGAUUCUGUGAGUAGUGGCGAGCGAAAGCGGAUGAGACUAAACCUGUGGUGUGUGAUACCGGUGAGGGGUUGCAUCAUGGGGGUUGUGGGAGUGAUGCGUGCCAGUUCUUACCGGCUGGUGGUGUGGUGUGUUGCGGUAGGCGAAGCGUCUGGGAUGGCGUGCCGGAGAGGGUGAGAGUCCUGUAGCUGAAACCGUGGUGCCUGCAUUGUGUUGUUUCCCGAGUAGCACGGGGCCCGUGAAAUCUCGUGUGAAUCUGCCAGGACCACCUGGUAAGUCUAAAUACUUUCUUGUGACCGAUAGUGGAUCAGUACCGUGAGGGAAUGGUGAAAAGUACCCCGGGAGGGGAGUGAAAGAGUACCUGAAACCGUGUGCCUACAAGCCGUCAGAGCCUUUGGGUGAUGGCGUGCCUUUUGAAGAAUGAGCCUGCGAGUUAGUGUUCUGUCGCGAGGUUAACCCGUGUGGGGUAGUCGUAGCGAAAGCGAGUCUGAAGAGGGCGUGUGAGUGGCAGGAUCUAGACCCGAAGCGGAGUGAUCUACCCAUGGCCAGGUUGAAGCGUGUGUAAGAGCGCGUGGAGGACCGAACCCACUUCAGUUGAAAAUGGAGGGGAUGAGCUGUGGGUAGGGGUGAAAGGCCAAUCAAACUCUGUGAUAGCUGGUUCUCCCCGAAAUGCAUUUAGGUGCAGCGUUGCGUGUUGCUUGCUGGAGGUAGAGCUACUGGUUGGCUGAUGGGCCUUAUCGGGUUACUGACGUCAGCCAAACUCCGAAUGCCGGUAAGUGUGAGCGUGGCAGUGAGACAGUGGGGGAUAAGCUUCAUUGUCGAGAGGGAAACAGCCCAGACCAUCAACUAAGGCCCCUAAGCGUGUGCUAAGUGGGAAAGGAUGUGGAGUUGCUGAGACAACCAGGAGGUUGGCUUAGAAGCAGCCAUCCUUGAAAGAGUGCGUAAUAGCUCACUGGUCAAGUGAUUCUGCGCCGACAAUGUAGCGGGGCUCAAGUACACCGCCGAAGUUGUGGCAGCGACAUGUUGUGUGUUGUUGGGUAGGGGAGCGUCGUGUGGCCGGUGAAGCUGCCGUGUGAACGAGUGGUGGAGGCUAUGCGAGUGAGAAUGCAGGCAUGAGUAGCGAAUGAUGCGUGAGAAACGUAUCCGCCGGAUGAUCAAGGGUUCCAGGGUCAAGCUAAUCUUCCCUGGGUUAGUCGGGGCCUAAGGCGAGGCCGUCAGGCGUAGUCGAUGGAUAACGGGUUGAUAUUCCCGUACCGACGAAGGACCGUCCAUACUGAGCUGGUGAUACUAACCACCCGAACCGCUGUGGCCGCAUUUUGUGUGGCUUCUGGUGGGGAGCGUGGGGCCUGAGCCAGGGAGGUAAGCGUGUUAACAGGUGUGACGCAGGAAGGUAGCCGGGCCACGCGGUGGUUGUCGUGGUCUAAGCAUGUAGGGUGGGGUGUUGUUAAAUGCGCGCCCCGUGUGCCUGAGAUGUGAUGGGACCCCUUUUUUGGGGGGAUUCGGUGAUCCUAUGCUGUCGAGAAAAGCAUCGACGUGAGGUUCUAGUUGCCCGUACCCUAAACCGACACAGGUGAUCAGGUAGAGAAUACUAAGGCGUUCGAGAGAAUCAUGGUUAAGGAACUCGGCAAAAUGCCCCCGUAACUUCGGGAGAAGGGGGACCUUGAGCGUGAACCGGGCUUGCUCCGGGGAGCGUGUAUGGGUCGCAGAGACCAGGGGGAAGCGACUGUUUAUCAAAAACACAGGUCCGUGCGAAGUCGUAAGACGAUGUAUACGGACUGACUCCUGCCCGGUGCUGGAAGGUUAAGAGGACUCGUUAGGCUUUGGCCGAAGCGGAGAAUUUAAGCCCCAGUAAACGGCGGUGGUAACUAUAACCAUCCUAAGGUAGCGAAAUUCCUUGUCGGGUAAGUUCCGACCUGCACGAAUGGAGUAACGACUUCCCUACUGUCUCAACCAUGAACUCGGCGAAAUUGCAGUACGAGUAAAGAUGCUCGUUUCGCGCAGCAGGACGGAAAGACCCCGUGACCUUUAC
rnacentral:rRNA from 1 species